rnacentral:rRNA from 1 species
AGAGUUUGAUCCUGGCUCAGGGUGAACGCUGGCGGCGCGCCUAAUGCAUGCAAGUCGAGCGUGCUCUGGUGGCUUCGGCUAUCAGGGAAAGCGGCGGACGGCUGAGUAACACGUGAGUAACCUGCCCUCUGGUGGGGUAUAACCUCGAGAAAUCGGGGCUAAUACCGCAUUAGACCCCUGGACCCUGGUUCAGAGGUGAAAGCCUUCGGGCGCCGGAGGAGGGGCUCGCGACCUAUCAGGUAGUUGGUAGGGUAAUGGCCUACCAAGCCUAUGACGGGUAGCUGGUCUAAGAGGACGAUCAGCCAGAGGGGGACUGAGACACGGCCCCCACACCUACGGGUGGCAGC